GGCGGAUGUCGCCUAGUGGAUC
rnacentral:tRNA from 1 species